AUUAUUGAAAAUAUCUUAAAUACAAGAAGAGGUAGAUUAACAAAUGAAACUUCUAUAACUGACGAAAUUGAAGAUUUUAUACCAUUGCAAAUAGUUGACAAGUUUAAUGAAGUUGACAACAAAUUAGAUAAACAUGAACAUCUUCGACAAGUGGUACAAGAACAGUUAGGUACAAGAACUAUAGGUUCAUGUAUAAUUUGUAAGAAGGCAAAGGCUACACGGAAAAUAAUUAUAAUUUUUACCAAUAUGAGAUUAAAAGGCUAAAUUCAUAAAAUGUAUUGGUGGCUCAGAGACACACGAAUUGGUUCAAAAUAUUCUAAGAAGAUUUAUAACGAAUAAAUUGGCUACAUUUUUCAAUAUUCAAGACAAAAACUUAAAAAAAAAGGAUGACGCACAGUCGAAAAUAGCGUUUAAAAAUACGAAUUUAUUCAAAUGCAUAAUCAAAGCUGCUCAACUUCAUCGUAAUAACGUUGACGAGUAUAAUGUGCAACGUAGAAGUAUUGCACCUUGGUUAGCCUAAGCAAAUUUACGUUUAUCCAGAGAAAAAGCUAAAGAGA